GGGGAUAUGGUGAAAUUGGGAUCACAGUACCUUCGCAAGGUUCAAUUUCGGGUUCAACUCCCGAUAUCUCCA
rnacentral:tRNA from 1 species